AAUCAUUUGUCUUUUAAAUGAAGACUUGUAUGAACGGCAAAACCUUUUCCAACUGUCUCCCCUCCCAUCCUUUCAAAUUUCUUCCUGUGUGAAGAAGCACAGAUACAUUAGAAAGACGAGAAGACCCUGUCGAGCUUUAACCACUAAGUGGGCCCUAUUUUUUUCAGGCACCACUAAAAGGUUUUGGUUGGGGCAACCAUGGAGAAAAAAAAUCCUCCAGAGCAAAUAGAAGAAAGCUUUUCACUACUAUUUUUACUACUGAGAACCAGGAACUGGUAUUCGGAAAAAGUUACCGCAGGGAUAACAGCGUCAUCUCCUCUGAGAGUCCUUAUUGACGAGGAGGUUUGCGACCUCGAUGUUGGAUUGGGGCCCCCUUAGGGUGCAGAAGCUCUAAACGGUUAGACUGUUCGUCUAUUAAAGCCCUACAUGAUCUGAGUUCAAACCGGAG
rnacentral:rRNA from 1 species